GAAAUGAUUAGAGUAUCCU
rnacentral:snRNA from 1 species